GGAGGAGUGGCCGAGCGGCUGAAGGCGCACGCUUGGAAAGCGUGUGUGCCCUUACGGGUACCGUGGGUUCGAAUCCCACCUCCUCCGCCA
rnacentral:tRNA from 1 species